UUGCUUUUUAAGUUAGCGGCGGACGGGUGAGUAACACGUGGGCAACCUGCCUGUAAGACUGGGAUAACUUCGGGAAACCGGAGCUAAUACCGGAUAAUCCUUUUCUACUCAUGUAGAAAAGCUGAAAGACGGUUUACGCUGUCACUUACAGAUGGGCCCGCGGCGCAUUAGCUAGUUGGUGAGGUAACGGCUCACCAAGGCGACGAUGCGUAGCCGACCUGAGAGGGUGAUCGGCCACACUGGGACUGAGACACGGCCCAGACUCAUACGGGAGGCAGCAGUAGGGAAUCUUCCGCAAUGGACGAAAGUCUGACGGAGCAACGCCGCGUGAGUGAUGAAGGUUUUCGGAUCGUAAAACUCUGUUGUUAGGGAAGAACAAGUACGAGAGUAACUGCUCGUACCUUGACGGUACCUAACCAGAAAGCCACGGCUAACUACGUGCCAGCAGCCGCGGUAAUACGUAGGUGGCAAGCGUUGUCCGGAAUUAUUGGGCGUAAAGCGCGCGCAGGCGGUCCUUUAAGUCUGAUGUGAAAGCCCACGGCUCAACCGUGGAGGGUCAUUGGAAACUGGGGGACUUGAGUGCAGAAGAGAAGAGUGGAAUUCCACGUGUAGCGGUGAAAUGCGUAGAGAUGUGGAGGAACACCAGUGGCGAAGGCGACUCUUUGGUCUGUAACUGACGCUGAGGCGCGAAAGCGUGGGG
rnacentral:rRNA from 1 species